rnacentral:rRNA from 1 species
UACCAGCACCCCGAGUGGUCGGGACGUUUAUUGGGCCUAAAGCAUCCGUAGCCGGUUCUACAAGUCUUCCGUUAAAUCCAACUGCUUAACAGGUGGGCUGCGGAAGAUACUAUAGAGCUAGGAGGCGGGAGAGGCAAGCGGUACUCGAUGGGUAGGGGUAAAAUCCGUUGAUCCAUUGAAGACCACCAGUGGCGAAGGCGGCUUGCCAGAAUGCGCUCGACGGUGAGGGAUGUAAGCUGGGGGAGCAAACCGG